rnacentral:rRNA from 1 species
GAGUUUGAUCAUGGCUCAGAACGAACGCUGGCGGCAUGCCUAACACAUGCAAGUCGAACGAACUCUUCGGAGUUAGUGGCGCACGGGUGCGUAACGCGUGGGAAUCUGCCCUUGGGUACGGAAUAACUCAGAGAAAUUUGUGCUAAUACCGUAUAAUGACUUCGGUCCAGAGAUUUAUCGCCCAAGGAUGAGCCCGCGUAAGAUUAGCUAGUUGGUGGGGUAAAGGCCUACCAAGGCUACGAUCUUUAGCUGGUCUGAGAGGAUGAUCAGCCACACUGGGACUGAGACACGGCCCAGACUCCUACGGGAGGCAGCAGUGGGGAAUAUUGGACAAUGGGCGAAAGCCUGAUCCAGCAAUGCCGCGUGAGUGAUGAAGGCCUUAGGGUUGUAAAGCUCUUUUACCCGGAUGAUAAUGACAGUACCGGGAGAAUAAGCUCCGGCUAACUCCGUGCCAGCCGCCGCGGUAAG